rnacentral:lncRNA from 1 species
UAACUCCUGACCUCAAGUGAUCCGCCCACCUCGGCCUCCCAAAGUGCUGGGAUUACAGGCAUGAGCCACCGCUCCGGGCCCUUGCACAUAUUUUUUUAUGAACACACAGGCAGCAGCACUUUGAUUACAGUAACUUACAUGGAAGUUAUUUUAAAAUGGCUUUCCCCUUCUCUUUUUCAUGUAGGCUGCAUUUUUCAUCUGCAGCACGCUUUCUCUCAAGAAUCUCAAGCACACACAAGAAACCAGAGAGUAAAAUCACUGAGGCGUGAACACAUCCAGAGACCAAGGGCGUCACUGGCAGAAAAGCUUUUAGGCGGAUCCACGGCCCGAGAGCCACCCUGCCCAGAGACGCGGUUUCCUAGGAGCAGUUCACACGCGGCUCUGCAGCACCCACAAGCGGGGCCAGGGGCUGGUUUUCAUAGUUCACAGUCUGCAGGGAUCUUAACAAAAACAUGGCCGUGGUAAAAGUGCCUAGACCAGGCUUUCGUCACAACUCAGUGAGUAGGAAGACUAGUUAGGCUGAUGAAAAGCUCUGAUGAUGUGUGAUUAAAAGUAGGAAAACGUGGUUGCCAAAUAAAAUAUUUUACUAUAUAGUCAGGGGGAGAGAUGGGGAUAAAAAAAUGUGGAAACCAUUUAUUUUAAAAUUUUGACUGUUCCUGCAGUGUUUAAAAUAUAGGAGAUAUAUUCUGAUUAUCUUUAGAAAGAAACUGCUCUCAAUCUAUUUGUAUGUCUUCCCUCUGGUUUUAAAAUAUUAAACAAUCAUCUAACUCAAUAUUUAAUUUUACCUCUAGUCAUGUUACUAGGUUAGGAUAAUAAAAAGGACUGUGAACUUCACAUCUGCCAUCUAUAAUAGAUUCUUAUUGUAGCAAUCUUGCACCAAGGGGAUUUCUUUAUUAACUCUGCCAAAUUUUCCAAAAUUACCAAAUGGAGAAAAGAGCUGGUCCCAUCUGUCACCAGGCACAACCAGGAAGUGUCAGAAGACUUUCAGAAGCACAUGCAGUUGCAGCUCCAGUGUUUCAACAGUUGCCCAUUUCCAAGGCCUCCUAAAUACGUAUGAGGCCUGUGGACAACUUUCUCCUCAGCUGUUACAGGAGGCUAAAAAACUUGCCCAACGUCACAUGGCUGGGAGUGGAAGAGCCAGGAAGAGUCCAGGAGGUAUGACUCCAGACCAGGCCUCUGGACCACUGCACUCCCACUACCUCUCCAGGCAGGGAUGCAGUCAUCAGUCAAUAGAAGCAGUCCACACAAACCAACCCU